rnacentral:rRNA from 1 species
ACACAUGCAAGUCGCACGAGAACGCUCUGGCUUUACCAGGACAAGUACAGUGGCGGACGGGUGCGUAUCGCGUAGAUAACCUGCCCUUAGGCGCGGGACAAUCACGGGAAACCGUGGCUAAUACCGCACGUCGUCUGGGCCCCGCAUGGGGACCAGAUGAAAGCUUGGGGUUACCCAGGCGCCUUGGGAUGGGUCUGCGUUGGAUUAGCUUGUUGGUGAGGCAACGGCUCACCAAGGCGACGAUCGGUAGCUGGUCUGAGAGGAUGGUCAGCCACACUGGGACUGAGACACGGCCCAGACUCCUACGGGAGGCAGCAGUGGGGAAUAUUGGACAAUGGGGUCACCCCUGAUGCAGCCAUGCCGCGUGGAGGAAGACACCCCUAUGGGGCGUAAACUCCUUUUCUGAGAGAAGAAGCCCCUGUAGGUUCAGGGCGUGACGGUAUCUCAGGAAUAAGCACCGGCUAACUCCGUGCCAGCAGCCGCGGUAAUACGGAGGGUGCAAGCGUUGUCCGGAAUCACUGGGCGUAAAGGGUGCGCAGGCGGGGCAGCAAGUCGGAGGUGAAAGCCCGUGGCUCAACCACGGAAGUGCCUUCGAAACUGUUGCUCUUGAGUCCCGGAGAGGUUGCCGGAAUUCGUGGUGUAGCGGUGAAAUGCGUAGAUAUCACGAGGAACACCAGAGGCGAAAGCGGGCAACUGGACGGGUACUGACGCUCAGGCACGAAAGCGCGGGGAGCAAACAGGAUUA